rnacentral:lncRNA from 1 species
GUCUGACUGUUUAGGUCUAGGUAUGACGGGUAUUGUUCAUACUUUUUAUAUAACUUUAACUUUGAUUUAUAAAAAAAAAUUGUAGCAAAGGAUUCUGUUUUCUUUCUAAUUGUUUCAAUCCAAUACAUUAAUAAGCAACCAAUUUGAAUGUCAUACCAUUUGUGGUGUUCGAAAGAAUUUGUUUAUAUUUGCAGAUUAAAUAAUAAAAUAAACACGUCUUUUCCUGUUAUUUUAAAUUCAAAUUUUCUUCUGUUUCAGCUUGUGUACAGUUAUUCAAUCCACUACGUAAGAAUUCAGUGAAUACAUUAUUCCAUUCACUAAACAUUUUUGCAAAUUGUUCUUCAAUGAUCUUCUUCCAUAUAUAUAUUUGAUAUGAGGGAGCGAUGUAAAUGUGUGGAUAAAACUGGUGUUCCUUUUUUCAACAACAAAAUAGUAUUUUUUCUGCAUUUCUCCUUUCUUUCGACUAAUAUAUAUAAUAUGUUGUUGCUUUUAUACAAUAGUGUUUUGUGUAUCUAUGAUAGAACUCCAUUUUGUUUAUGGCCAUUAUCAUGUGAUUAUGAUGAAAUUUCCUAUUUCUUUU